UGAAACUAGAUAUGACUUAGUGGCGGACGGGUGAGUAACGCGUGGAUAACCUGCCUCACACUGGGGGAUAACAGUUAGAAAUGACUGCUAAUACCGCAUAAGCGCACGGCAUCGCAUGAUGCAGUGUGAAAAACUCCGGUGGUACAAGAUGGACCCGCGUCUGAUUAGCUGGUUGGUGAGGUAACGGCCCACCAAGGCGACGAUCAGUAGCCGGCCUGAGAGGGUGAACGGCCACAUUGGGACUGAGACACGGCCCAAACUCC
rnacentral:rRNA from 1 species